ACUACGGGCGGCAGCAGUGGGGAAUAUUGCACAAUGGGGGAAACCCUGAUGCAGCGACGCCGCGUGAGUGAAGAAGUAUUUCGGUAUGUAAAGCUCUAUCAGCAGGGAAGAAGAAAGACGGUACCUGACUAAGAAGCCCCGGCUAACUACGUGCCAGCAGCCGCGGUAAUACGUAGGGGGCAAGCGUUAUCCGGAUUUACUGGGUGUAAAGGGAGCGUAGACGGCUGUGCAAGUCUGAAGUGAAAGCCCAGGGCUCAACCCUGGGACUGCUUUGGAAACUGUGGAGCUAGAGUGCUGGAGAGGUAAGUGGAAUUCCUGGUGUAGCGGUGAAAUGCGUAGAUAUUAGGAGGAACACCAGUGGCGAAGGCGGCUUACUGGACAGUAACUGACGUUGAGGCUCGAAAGCGUGGGGAGCAAACAGGAUUAGAUACCCUAGUAGUC
rnacentral:rRNA from 1 species